GUGGGGAUCCUUAUCAUAUUUAUUAAUCUACAACACUGCUUAUUGUAUUAUUUCAAAGAAAAUAAUUAAAGCCACACCUAUAGCCUACACCUAUUUGUAGAGGGUACUGGAGAUCUAAAAGGUGAGAUUGAAACAGGGUUUACUCUCUCACCCAAAUCGGUAUAUACACCCAUUUAAAAAAAAACUCUGCAUAUACCCCUCUCUCUCUCUCUCCCUCCCUCCCUCCCUCCUUUAUACCUUCGAUGACCAACGUUCCAGCUGCUUCUUGCCGACCGACUCCACUGCAGUUCUUCUUCCUCCAUUCUUUGACAAGUGCUAGGUCUUCUCAACUCCACCACAUAGUUCCCUUUCAUCCAAACAGCCCAGUAUCUAUCUCCUCUCUCCACACCAAAUAUUUUCCAACCUCAAGCCCAACAAUUGCAUUACCGACGGCAGACCCAGAGCCAUCCUCUCACUGAUUACGGAGUAAUGGAUGUAUGAAUAGAUGUGAACCUGUUCAUGAAAUUGCCAAUCAGAUUUAGAUAUACCCAAAUUCUUUGUUUGAUUUUGAUAGACGGUUUCAUCUCACAACGAAACGCGAUUUUCUCUCUUAAGAAUCGCGUUUCUUACACGAUUUUGAUUCGGGAACGCAAAAUCGCGUUUCUCCCACAAACUCGUCACCUACUGUAACGAUUCCUGCCA